rnacentral:rRNA from 1 species
GACGAACGCUGGCGGCGUGCUUAACACAUGCAAGUCGAACGGUGAAGCUCCAGCUUGCUGGAGUGGAUCAGUGGCGAACGGGUGAGUAACACGUGAGCAACCUGCCCCUGACUCUGGAAUAAGCGCUGGAAACGGCGUCUAAUACUGGAUACGAGAAGGGUCCGCAUGGGCACUUUCUGGAAAGUUUUUCGGUUGGGGAUGGGCUCGCGGCCUAUCAGCUUGUUGGUGAGGUAAUGGCUCACCAAGGCGACGACGGGUAGCCGGCCUGAGAGGGCGACCGGCAACACUAGGACUGAGACACGGCCCAGACUCCUACGGGAGGCAGCAGUGGGGAAUAUUGCACAAUGGGCGAAAGCCUGAUGCAGCGACGCCGCGUGAGGGAUGACGGCCUUCGGGUUGUAAACCUCUUUCAGCAGGGAAGAAGCGAAAGUGACGGUACCUGCAGAAGAAGCACCGGCUAACUACGUG